AAACCUAGAUUUCUCUUCAGUUGUCAAAUAAAUCUUUCGCAUUUUACUAAAGAUAUCCGUGGAGAGGAGUAAUUUUAGGUCUAUAAGACGAACAUUGCUAAAUCGACUCAGGCCGUUC